GUGAGUAACACGUGGGUAACCUGCCCAUAAGACUGGGAUAACUCCGGGAAACCGGGGCUAAUACCGGAUAACAUUUUGAACCGCAUGGUUCGAAAUUGAAAGGCGGCUUCGGCUGUCACUUAUGGAUGGACCCGCGUCGCAUUAGCUAGUUGGUGAGGUAACGGCUCACCAAGGCAACGAUGCGUAGCCGACCUGAGAGGGUGAUCGGCCACACUGGGACUGAGACACGGCCCAGAGUCCUACGGGAGGCAGCAGUGGGGAAUCUUGCGCAAUGGGCGAAAGCCUGACGCAGCAACGCCGCGUGAGGGAUGAAGGCCUUCGGGUUGUAAAACUCUGUUGUUAGGGAAGAACAAGUGCUAGUUGAAUAAGCUGGCACCUUGACGGUACCUAACCAGAAAGCCACGGCUAAAUACGUGCCAGCAGCCGCGGUAAUACGUAGGUGGCAAGCGUUAUCCGGAAUUAUUGGGCGUAAAGCGCGCGCAGGUGGUUUCUUAAGUCUGAUGUGAAAGCCCACGGCUCAACCGUGGAGGGUCAUUGGAAACUGGGAGACUUGAGUGCAGAAGAGGAAAGUGGAAUUCCAUGUGUAGCGGUGAAAUGCGUAGAGAUAUGGAGGAACACCAGUGGCGAAGGCGACUUUCUGGUCUGUAACUGACACUGAGG
rnacentral:rRNA from 1 species